rnacentral:lncRNA from 1 species
UGUAUUGACACCAAGUUGUUACCAAAUAUUGAUACCAAAUAUACUUUUGUUAUAUCUCCUUACAUCUUAUGAGUUCCAAGCUCUGGCCAUGGUGGAGCCAGACAGAGGUCCCUCCAACAUUACAACACCUCCACCCGUCAUCACAAAAGGUGGCUCCAAGCAGAGGCUGUGCUCCCUACAGGAUAACCCUGUCGUUGCAGACGGUUCAGACAGACAUGCUGCCCCCCCUUCCACCCGUACAAGCCCUUGGAGUGCAUUGUGAAAGAGACAGAGCUGAUCUCAGCCAUAGAGAAGACCCAGCUGCAGAAUAAGAAGAUGAUCCUCAAGGAGCAGUAAACUAAAGAGUACAUGAAGGCCGAAGGCCUGAAGGAUGACCCGGGGCAGCCCCUACCCUGCAGACUAUCUUCGCACCUUGGCCACCCAGCAGUUCAGACUUGAGCACGGCAGACUACCCCGACAGCUCCAGCCCUGACCUGCUGAUGGUGAGCAAGCAGCAGAUGUUGGGGCAGCAGUUGACACGCCUGGGACUGGACCUUCUCACCCAGGCCCCCGACAGACUCAUAGUGGUCUUCCCUGUACAGAUCGUCACAGAUAUGCUGGUUGACAUCAUGGCAGCAUUUACAGCUGUGAGUCUUUCUGGGUGCCCUUCUUUGCGAACCUUUGGAAAACUUCCAUGGUCUUUCUGGUUGAAUCUGUGCUCAAAAUUCCUUGCUCAACUGAGGGACUUUACAGAUACAGUGGAUUCCAAAG